rnacentral:lncRNA from 1 species
AGCCGUCUACUGUUAUAUUCGUAACUUAGAAAAAUCAUAACUUCCUCAUACGAAGUCAGUUUUGGACGAUCUUUUUAUGUAUGUUCACUGUUUAAUGAUAUCUACGACUUUCAUUUAGAUACUUAAGGCUAAAAAGUGUUGUAUUGGAGCUUCGCGUUUUUCGUUUAAUCGGUGUUGCCGGUUUUGUCGGAAAUCUUAGAAUAGUCAUAACUUCUUCGUUAUAACUCGGAUUUGUGUGUUCUUUAUAUGUAUGAAAACCUUGUUACGAUAUCUACCACUUAGUAUACUUAAUUACGGUUUUAUAAAAGUUUAAAUUUUGAACUGAAUUUUGCUGUUGUUACAUUAUCCCCCCCGUUAGAGAGAAUUUCGUCUCGGAAUUCGCAUUCUGACUGGGACUCCAACUCUUGCGGGUAGGCAUGAGUGCUUCUGGUCCAUUUGUUCCUCUUGUCUGUAUGAAUCUAGAUCCUAAUGUGUGUGUCUCAGUGGUCCUUCAUUACUCCGCCUAUCACUUCGAUCGAUCGGGAUUGUGUGGUUUUGGGUUUAUUUACUUAUGUUCUUCUAAAUGUUAGCAUACUCACUCGAUGCAUUAGGGCAACUACGUUUUGAAGUUCAUGGUUAAAUUCACUACUAGUUUCUGAGCUUGGAUUUGACUUGUUGUAUGCGUGGUAUUUCUAAAUGAUCUAUUGGGGGAUACUAUGGGAAGGUUGUAAAGAUAUAGUACUCCUCACAUGAGUACUUCGGGGUUUUGAAACUAGAAACCAAUUGGGAUUUGUGUCGGGUUUGUCGUUAUAAAUCGAUCGAGUUUCGUUAGUCGAUGGUUAAAGUGAAAGGGUCUUUUAUAACUAAUGGAACUGGUAUGGGUAGGGCCACAACAAACCACGUCGAAUGCCGAUGUCGGUACUUCUCAUUGUAAGACGUUCGCUAAUGGGAUAGUGCAUUCUACGUAUGUGUUUUCAGUGCUUUUUAGUCUAUCUCUAUUAUUACUACUAUGAAAGUUUUGUUUAAUGAUUAGGGUGUUUGUUCGAGUAGAUUUUUAACUUGUGACUCACGGAACUCCUCUGCGUCCCUACUAUCAAAUGGAAUGUAUGCAAAUAAGUUAUUGAGGAGAAAUGUACCCAAAAUAACUGUGGGGUCUGCAAUAGCCUCCUCUUGGCCCAUUGCGAAUACUCGGCCUCCUCUACUAGCAUUCGUGAUGUUUGACUCCAGGCAGUCCCUUCGGAAGUGUCCCGUUACUCCGCAUUCAUAACAAGCACGGUCUACUCCUACAUUUGUGGCUGGAGCAGUUAGUUGGGCUAGGUCUCUACAGUAGCGGACGGUGUGCCCCUUUCUAUUGCAACUAACGCAAUGCAAUUCACGGCAAGGUCUGUGAUGAUGGAAGUUGCAUCGGUUCCACUUAGGCUGGUUGCCGUUGUAUGGCCUUUUGGGUGUAGGGGUAUGGUUUGUUGAUUGCUUUUUGGCGUUUCUUUGAGUUGAUUUGCCUCCCCUCUCACUCCAAGAUUUUCGUUUCAUGUUCUUGUGUUCGUACCUUGCGGUAUUCUUAUAGGUAGCUAUUGGUAGGUGGCUUCGAUUGUUUCUUUGAUUAGGAUUUUCGAUAUCGUUUCCUUCCCUGCUUGAGUUGACAGAGUUAUUGUACGCUAUAAUGGCUGCCAUGGUGGCUAUAACUGUAGCUUGCAAAGUGGCGAUGUCCAAUUGUAGGAAUGGGGUUGCAUUGGUAAGGUGAUUAUUUCCGGCCCUUGCUGCGUUGCUAAAGUUUGCUUGAGACAGUGCAGCUACUACUGCCACAGUGAUAGCAGAUUGCACUAUGUUGGGGUCAUAUUGGGGAGGUGGUGGCGGGGUUGCGUUUCUACGUGCUGAUCUACGGGGAGACAUUGUUCUGAUAAGGAAAUAACAAGAAAAACUAUAAGUUUUAAUGAUUCGAAAGUCGCGCAUUAGUGAUUUGUUAUAUCAGAAGUUUGGUUUAUCCUUGAAUAGGGUUUUGAGUUCGGCUCAUAAGGAGAGUAGAUAAACUCAUGAAUUGGAGGGGCAUGCAAAGGGUUUAAUAAAGGAAAUACAUCAUAUAUAUUAUAAAACGUGGUGCGUUACAUUUUGUAGUUAGGAAAAUUUGACCUAUCUAAAGGUCUCCGAUUACAAGGUUAAGAAAAGUAAGGACUUUAUCCGAGGUCUUAUGUUAUGACAAAAUUUUGGAAGUCAGACAGGUAUUAUUUGUUACGCGAGCUGGCUACAUGGGCUUUAGAUUCCGCCAACUGACACUCCAUCUCGAGCAUACGUAGUUCAUGUCUUGCCUGGCGUGCCCGAAGUUCUAUCACUUCGGUUUGAGUUGCCGUUAGUUCUCUCUGCAACUCUUCAUUUCGAUUUACGAUUCUCCCGUGAGCUAAUUCUAACUGUCGGAUGCGAACUGUGUUGACUCCAGUGUUCGCAUCAUUCUCCUCAGUUCGAUGGAUGGUCGUCCGUCCUUGUUCACCAAUGCGAGAAAUCCGACGAACCAAUAUAGGGAGGGCUCUGUCUGCUGAGCCUCCCUCGCUUAGAUUGUAGAAGCUUCGGUCUCCGUUGAAUGGAAGGGGUUGAUCUUGUUCGCGGCUCCACCUAUUCAGGUUAGUUGCCCAAAGGGGCGCCGAGCCAUGAAAUUCCGGUCGAGGAUUAGGAUUUUGAAUUGGAGCCGUUAAGGGUAGGUUAUUGUCCUCGGGAUCUGAGUCUGAUUCUUCUUGCAUUCCUUCUUCAUGAUCAUUCUCUAUCCCUUCUCCAUUACCUUGGUUGGGGUAGUAGGGGUCAUCGGGGUGAUGGAAUCUAGCCAUUGAGUCUAUACGAGAAUAGGGUUAAGAAUUGACUACAAACUAAAGCACGUGGAAUUUACCCUUAAGUUUAAUGGUUGUAGGUAUUCGAAUACUCCCUUAGUAUUCUUUAACGAUUUGCUUUUGGUAUGUUUUAAAUUUGUUGUCCAUUGCAGACACUCCUUGGCAUACGUUAGUCGGCUCUCGGACAAAUAUAGUUGAUCAUGCUAUAUUCUUCCCAAUUCCGAUUACAUGUCCCAAGGCGUACCUGCACUGCACAACUUAUUUAUAAUACUUCUAUAUUGUUUUAAUUAUGAUACUGACCCUGUUGUAAAUAUGAAAUGAAUGCAAGCCUACUUUACAAAAACUAAAUAAAUUUAAUUUUUAAAAGUAUGACUCUUACUCAGAGUGUUUUUGCCCAGUUGUGUUUAUAGUUGUAUACCAAAAAUGGUUUUGAUAUACUUAAUUCACUAUAAACAAUGCUCUGAUACCAAUUUGUCACACCCCCAAACCAGAAUGGCGGAAACGUUCGGGGGCGGAGGACGUCAUAUUCAAUAUCAUAACAGUUCAUAGAAAGGAAAGUGCACACCACCAUACAUAAAGGUUUUAAAAAUGUAUACAUCAUUGUAUUCAUUACAUGCCCAAAAGAUAAAUACAUAAACAUCUUUCAAAAGAAGUAAUUAACGUCAGCACGUUUAAUCCCCAAAAGUUGAUUUCCAAACUUGCUUAGCGGUUCCCUGAGAAUACAAGUUAUUUCAAAGAGAAAGUGUCAACAAUUAAGUUGGUGAGUUCAUCAGUAGUGUUUUGAGAAAAUGUACGCCAUUCGAAAGUUCGUGUAUGUUUUCCAGAAAACGCAGUGUUUCAAAUGUAAAGAGUUAUGAUUUGUUGUGUUGAAAAUGAAUGUAUUAGAUCCAGAAAAUCCCAUAUUUUCCCUAAUAGUUGAGAUAUGAUUUGUUGUGUUUUCCAAGAAAAACCCUUAUUUUCUUAUAAAAGUAUGAAAUGCAUAUGAAUGUUCGUGUUAUAAGUUGUAAACAAUUGCACCAGGAAAAUCCCUUAUUUUCCUAUUAGUUGUUUGUUCUAGAUGCGGGAAAAACCCUUAUUUUCCUAAAGUAACUGGCAGUCUCUAAGACCGAAAAUCGCAAGCAACCGACGUGCUUAAAAGGUGUGGCAUAGUUUUAUAUAAUAAAGCUAUACGAAGAUCGCACUUGUUAGAUGAAGAAUAGUUUUAGUAACUACUUGUUCAUAAAAGCAUAAUACCAUAAUAAUUGUAUAUCCGAUGAGUUUUAUAACCAUAUUGAACGUAAUAUGCCUGUAACGACGUUCUUCAGGCGUCGUAGCGUUAUGAAAAACUGUCACCCCAAAGGACGGACUGUAGCUAACAGUCUGGGCGCGGGAUCAUGACUUCCCGUAUAGAUCUAUACACAUUUGACACGUUCUCCGAACGGGAGACUCUGGUUAUAGACAGGACUUGAAGCGGUACCUUUUAGCAAAAAGGUAUUAUUUGAAGAUGUACACGUCUCACGGAUUCUCAACUAAGUCUGUAUUAAAGUAGUAGUUUUGUAUGCAAAGUUUAUCCUUUUUCACAAUGUUUGACAAAGCAUAAAUCAUAAGUUCUUUGAAUGCAUAAAAUGAUUUAUUAAAGAAUGUUACCCUUGAUAUGAUGUAUUUGUAUGUAAACGUAUAAAUAAAACAUUAUUUCUAUUUAUAAAACAUAUUGUAUCCCAAGAGGGUAAAGCUGUGUUGUGAGGUGUUUUGCAUGAUGAUGACUUCAUAAGAUAGUUAAAACAACAGUAUGAAAAGUAUAGCAAAAGAUCGAUGUUUCACACGAUUUUAGUCGUGUGUUUACUUGUAUCCCCCCCUUAAAAGUGUUUAAAAAUCAUUUAAAGAUCAUUUAAAGUGUGGUUGUAGGGGUAUGAACUCACUUGAUAGAUUGAAGAAGGCGAGACGAAAACCGAGCAGAACUUCUACUCGAGAAAGCGGAUUUUCUCGGGAUUCUCGGGAAUCUCGGUAGUGUGAAACUUUCUUCCCACCUUGGAUAUGAAAACCGGGCCUUUGGGAUGACUCCAAGGGUUGAACCGCAGAGCUUCGGCGCGAGAAAGGAAGGAAAUUAGCAAAUUUGGCCGGCACCCUCGCAUCCCUUUUAUAGGGUCUGGAAGCCUCGCGUACCUGGGGCGUACGAGACGUCAUGGCUUACCGCAUCCUCAGAAGAAGCAUCGAAGCGACGUGGACAAUCCAAUGCCUAGCAUCCGAGUACGCGGGGCGUACGACGGUACGCUGGGCGUACGAGGGACCGGACCGCUGACUCGUUCUUCGGAUAAUACCGGGGUUUUAAUUAAAUUUAUAUAUUUAUUAUUUAGCAAACUUCUAAAAUUCAUAUCUCCUUCAUACGAACUCCUUUUUCGACGUUCUUUAUAUCCACGCGUAGGUGAGACUAAGAUCUACAACUUUCGUUUAGAUUCCGUUGGCAAAUUCUGAAAUUAUUUUUAUUAUUUAUUUUUAAAAGGUCGUGUUUUAAGGAAUUUUUCUUUAGAAAUUCAUAACUUCUUUAUCUAACGUCCGCUUCCGUCAGUCUUUUUACCGUUGCGCUUCUAUUGUUGAGACCCUCAAUUCUCAUUUAGUUUGCGUCGGCUAAAUGUCUCUCGAUCUCUAUUUCGAGUUUUUAGCCGUCUACUGUUAUAUUCGUAACUUAGAAAAAUCAUAACUUCCUCAUACGAAGUAAGAUUUGGACGAUCUUUUUAUGUAUGUUCACUAUUUAAUGAUAUCUAUGACUUUCAUUUAGAUACUUAAGGCUAAAAAGUGUUGUAUUGGAACUUUGCGUUUUUCGUUUAAUCGAUGUUGCCGGUUUUGUCGGAAAUCUUAGAAUGGUCAUAACUUCUUCGUUAUAACUCGGAUUUGUGUGUUCUUUUUAUGUAUGAAACCUUGUUACGAUAUCUACCACUUAGUAUACUUAAUUACGGUUUUAUAAAAGUUUAAAUUUUGACCUGAAUUUUGCUGUUGUUACAUUGGCUGGAAGGAAAGCGAAAAAAAAUCAAUCAGGAAAAUUCUCUCAAGAACAAAUCAAGGUUGCUUAUGAGAAGUAUCUAAAUGAAUCAUCAAAUGGAAGUUCAUCAUCAAUAGAUUUGAAUCCUACUAUUGAAAAGUGGCGAGCAAUUCCAAAAGAAAAAGUCAGU